UACGGGGGGGGCAAGCGUUGUUCGGAAUUACUGGGCGUAAAGGGUCUGUAGGUGGCUCGCUAAGUCAGACGUGAAAUCCCUCAGCUUAACUGAGGAACUGCGUCUGAGACUGAUGAGCUCGAGUGCAGGAGAGGAAUGCGGAAUUCCAGGUGUAGCGGUGAAAUGCGUAGAUAUCUGGAGGAACACCGGUGGCGAAGGCGGCAUUCUGGACUGCAACUGACACUGAGAGACGAAAGCCAGGGGAGCAAACGGG
rnacentral:rRNA from 1 species